UCUCCGCUAGGUAACCUGAGCGGCCGCUCCCGGAAAUCCUCUGUGGGCCACGGGGCCGCUGAGCAAGACCGUCUGCGGAGGAGACUGUCUUCCAGGAUUCAGCUCCGGGGAAGGUCACAGUGGCACGAAGAGUGGGGAAACCUGCCGCCAGACCCGAAAGGACAAUGCAUUUUCCCAGAUGCUGACAGGUGGCUAGGAAGUCCUCCUCGCCGAUACACCACGGAAAACACGCUGUCCCCAGACAGCGGGGCUCUUCUCUUGUGCCUGACCUAGGCUUAGCUUCUGGGGUGUUAUUUACCCAAAUGUGUAUUCAUGGAGAUCCUGAAUUUCAGGCUAAGCUACCUCAUGUUUUAAAGAACCGUCACAUCCUGUUUCACUGUGUGCCAACAAGAAUAGGUAUUAGGGGGGGCACCUGGGUGGCUCAGUGGGUUAAAGCUUCUGCCUUCGGCUCAGGUCAUGGGCUCAGGGUCUUAGGAUCGAGCCCCACAUCGGGCUCUCUGCUCAGCAAGCAGCCUGCUUUCCUUCCUCUCUCUCUGCCUGCCUCUCUGCCUACUUGUGAUCUCUCUCUGUCGAAUAAAUAAAUAAAAUCUUUUUUUAAAAAAAGAAAAGAAAAGAAUAGGUAUUACAUUUUGUCAAAUGCCCCUUGAGCAUGUCUGGGGAUGGUCACGGGAUUCUUUCUCUACUUCUCUGUUAAGAUGAUAAAUUACUGAUUUCCUGAUCUGGGUCUUCCCUGCACACCCCACUCAGCCAAGAUGUAUUUUCGUUCCUUUGUUUUAAUACCUUGCUGAGUAUCCUUCACCUACCAAACCACUCUCUCCUGGAACACAGCCCUGCGGUCGAAACCUUUGAUGCUGAUCUAAUUUUUUCUUUCUUCUAAGUCAACUUGAUCUAUUGCUCAGAUGCCUAAAUAAUUGUUUUCCUCUUUAAAAAAAGAAAAAAAGCCAACUGGUAGUUUUUCUAGAAGCUGAGGACUGGUUUUGGUUAAUUUUUCUUUUCUUUUCUUUCUUUUUUUUUUUUUUUAAUAUUUUAUUUACUUAGGGAGGGAGCACAAGAGGGGAGUAGCAGGGAGAAGCAGACUCCCCGCUGAGCAGGGAUUCCAGUGCUGGGCUCCAUCCCAGCACCCUGAGAUCGUGACCUGAACCCAAGGUAGACGCUUAACCACCUGAGCCCCACAGGCACCCCUCAGCUGACUUUCCUAGUUACA